GACGAACGCUGGCGGCGUGCUUAACACAUGCAAGUCGAACGGAAAGGCCCUGCUUUUGUGGGGUGCUCGAGUGGCGAACGGGUGAGUAACACGUGAGUAACCUGCCCUUGACUUUGGGAUAACUUCAGGAAACUGGGGCUAAUACCGGAUAGGAGCUCCUGCUGCAUGGUGGGGGUUGGAAAGUUUCGGCGGUUGGGGAUGGACUCGCGGCUUAUCAGCUUGUUGGUGGGGUAGUGGCUUACCAAGGAUUUGACGGGUAGCCGGCCUGAGAGGGUGACCGGCGACAUUGGGACUGAGAGACGGCCCAGACUCCUACGGGAGGCAGCAGUGGGGAAUAUUGCACAAUGGGCGGAAGCCUGAGGCAGCAACGCCGCGUUUGUGAUGACGGCCUUCGGGUUGUAAACCGCUUUCGCCUGUGACGAAGCGUGAGUGACGGUAAUGGGUAAAGAAGCACCGGCUAACUACGUG
rnacentral:rRNA from 1 species